rnacentral:rRNA from 1 species
CCUACGGGCAGGCAGCAGUAGGGAAUCUUGCACAAUGGGCGCAAGCCUGAUGCAGCAACGCCGCGUGGGUGAAGAAGGUUUUCGAGUCGUAAAGCCCUUUCAGCUGGAAAGAAGGGUGUUGAGGUUAAUAUCCUCAAUGCUUGACGGUACCAGAAGAAGAAGCACUGGCUAACUCCGUGCCAGCAGCCGCGGUAAUACGGAGAGUGCAAGCGUUGUUCGGAAUAACUGGGCGUAGAGUGCGAGUAGGCGGGUUUGCAAGUCGAUUGUGAAAGCCCAGAGCUUAACUUUGGAAUUGCAGUCGAAACUGCGGACCUUGAAUGCCUGAGAGGAUAGCGGAAUUCCUGGUGUAGAAGUGAAAUCCGUAGAUAUCAGGAGGAACACUUGUGGCGAAGGCGGCUAUCUGGCAGUGCAUUGACGCUGAAUUGCGAAAGCGUGGGGAGCAAACAGGAUUAGAUACCCUGGUAGUCCACGCGGUAAACGAUGGAUACUAGCUGUCUGGAGAGUUAAACCUCUGGGUAGCGAAGCUAACGCAUUAAGUAUCCUGCCUGGGGAGUACGGUCGCAAGGCUAAAACUCAAAGGAAUUGACGG